UCCUCCCGAGUGCUUGCACUCAAUUGGAAAGAGGAGUGGCGGACGGGUGAGUAACACGUGGGUAACCUACCCAUCAGAGGGGGAUAACACUUGGAAACAGGUGCUAAUACCGCAUAACAGUUUAUGCCGCAUGGCAUAAGAGUGAAAGGCGCUUUCGGGUGUCGCUGAUGGAUGGACCCGCGGUGCAUUAGCUAGUUGGUGAGGUAACGGCUCACCAAGGCCACGAUGCAUAGCCGACCUGAGAGGGUGAUCGGCCACACUGGGACUGAGACACGGCCCAGGCUCCUACGGGAGGCAGCAGUAGGGAAUCUUCGGCAAUGGACGAAAGUCUGACCGAGCAACGCCGCGUGAGUGAAGAAGGUUUUCGGAUCGUAAAACUCUGUUGUUAGAGAAGAACAAGGACGUUAGUAACUGAACGUCCCCUGACGGUAUCUAACCAGAAAGCCACGGCUAACUACGUGCCAGCAGCCGCGGUAAUACGUAGGUGGCAAGCGUUGUCCGGAUUUAUUGGGCGUAAAGCGAGCGCAGGCGGUUUCUUAAGUCUGAUGUGAAAGCCCCCGGCUCAACCGGGGAGGGUCAUUGGAAACUGGGAGACUUGAGUGCAGGAGGGGAGAGUGGAAUUCCAUGUGUAGCGGUGAAAUGCGUAGAUAUAUGGAGGAACACCAGUGGCGAAGGC
rnacentral:rRNA from 1 species